rnacentral:tRNA from 1 species
GGGAGUGUAGUAUAGUUGGUUAAUGCAUCUAACUUCUAAUUAGAUAAUAUCAGUUCAAAUCUGAUCUCUUCCA